rnacentral:lncRNA from 1 species
UGAGGAAAGAGUCCCCCUUGAGGUCACCUGCAAUUUCAAGAGUGGAAACAUCAAGAAAUCUGGUCAUGACCAGGCAGUUGUGGCAGUGACAACUUCUCCAUGGUUUAUUUCUGUUUCACAGUAUUUGGUAUCACAGUCUACUUAGAAAUAAGCGAAGUUUGAUAAAAAUGUGGCAUUUGCACCCAGUUUCUGGGGAAGACGUGGGACAUGAGAUACACAUUUGGAAAAAUCUCAAGAUUGCAGGUGAACAAUUACACACAGGGAGAUGUUGGAGGGAUCUCAAGGCAGAGAAAUUGCAGCUGUGUGGGAAAUUGUAUAUAUCUGGAUGCAUUCACUGUGGAAUUGACUGCAAAGGGCCAAAUUCUGUGUUGGAAAGAGCUCCUUCUGUUUUUCUUGGCCUAACCCACUAUGCACAGAUGUCACCUCCCUGCUUUUGACCAGACCACAGAAGUCAGGAAAGCAAUUUCUUCCCCAUCCUUACUGGCAUCCUGAGGAGGCAGGUUCCUUAGGACUCUGAUGUGAGACAGAAAUGGAAACAGGAUUUUGCUGGAGUGGGAUGCUUCGUGUUUGAGGAAGUCAAAGUUAAUCUGUGCUUGAAGAAUCAGGAAAAUUUAUAUUUUGCAUGGGCAGUGCCAACGCAGCUCCCUGUUCUGGUGGAGGGCACAAAAGAGACUUUGGUGCCUAAGUAAUUUAUGAUUAGUUGAAAACUGUUGUGUUUCAUUGCUCACACGUGUUCUACUCAAGAAGAGACUGUAAAAUUGAUCUGAGGCCCAAACUAAGAGUGAAUCUUUGUCUCUCUCAAAGAGCAAAGCUCUCUUUCAAAAAUGUAACGCUGUGUGUGACGCAGGAGUUGCCAUGGAAAAAUACAUUGAGCCAAUCAUUCAUGAUUUAUUUAUAGCAAUUAGAAUGCUCAUCCCAAGAUCCAAUAGUAGCUUUGAUUUAAAAAAAAAAAAUAAAAAAAUCAUCCAGACAAAAGAUCGAAGCA